rnacentral:rRNA from 1 species
AGUGAACGCUGGCGAUAGGCCUAACACAUGCAAGUCGAACGGCAGCACAGUAAGAGCUUGCUCUUACGGGUGGCGAGUGGCGGACGGGUGAGGAAUACAUCGGAAUCUACUUUUUCGUGGGGGAUAACGUAGGGAAACUUACGCUAAUACCGCAUACGACCUACGGGUGAAAGCAGGGGAUCUUCGGACCUUGCGCGAUUGAAUGAGCCGAUGUCGGAUUAGCUAGUUGGCGGGGUAAAGGCCCACCAAGGCGACGAUCCGUAGCUGGUCUGUGAGGAUGAUCAGCCACACUGGAACUGAGACACGGUCCAGACUCCUACGGGAGGCAGCAGUGGGGAAUAUUGGACAAUGGGCGCAAGCCUGAUCCAGCCAUACCGCGUGGGUGAAGAAGGCCUCCGGGUUGUAAAGCCCUUUUGUUGGGAAAGAAAAGCAGCAGGUUAAUACCCCGCUGUUCUGACGGUACCCAAAGAAUAAGCACCGGCUAACUUCGUG